rnacentral:rRNA from 1 species
AAAAUGACUCUCGGCAACGGAUAUCUCGGCUCUCGCAUCGAUGAAGAACGUAGCGAAAUGCGAUACUUGGUGUGAAUUGCAGAAUCCCGUGAACCAUCGAGUCUUUGAACGCAAGUUGCGCCCAAUGCCAAAAUCUUUUGGUUGAGGGCACGUCUGCCUGGGU